GUUUUAAUAGUUUAAUAAAACAUUGGUCUUGUAAAUCAAAAUUAAGCUUCUGCCCCAGCUUUUAAAACU
rnacentral:tRNA from 1 species